GGCCAGACUCCUACGGGAGGCAGCAGUGGGGAAUAUUGCACAAUGGGGGAAACCCUGAUGCAGCGACGCCGCGUGAGUGAAGAAGUAUUUCGGUAUGUAAAGCUCUAUCAGCAGGGAAGAAAAUGACGGUACCUGACUAAGAAGCCCCGGCUAACUACGUGCCAGCAGCCGCGGUAAUACGUAGGGGGCAAGCGUUAUCCGGAUUUACUGGGUGUAAAGGGAGCGUAGACGGCAUGGCAAGUCAGAUGUGAAAGCCCGGGGCUCAACCCCGGGACUGCAUUUGAAACUGUCAGGCUGGAGUGCAGGAGAGGUAAGUGGAAUUCCUAGUGUAGCGGUGAAAUGCGUAGAUAUUAGGAGGAACACCAGUGGCGAAGGCGGCUUACUGGACUGUAACUGACGUUGAGGCUCGAAAGCGUGGGGAGCAAACAGGAUUAGAUACCCCCGUAUUA
rnacentral:rRNA from 1 species